CCCCUGCUCCCUUUGCACACACCGCCCCGUCGCUUCACCGAAGUUUGGUUCUUGGCGAGGUUGCGCCUAAUUGGCGCUAUCGAACCUGGGGUCAGCAACGGGGAG
rnacentral:rRNA from 1 species